rnacentral:rRNA from 1 species
AUACGUAGGUGACGAGCGUUAUCCGGAUUUACUGGGCGUAAAGGGCGUGUAGGCGGUCUUGCAAGUCAGAAGUGAAAUUCCUGAGCUCAACUCGGGCGCUGCUUCUGAAACUGCAGGACUUGAGUGCUGGAGGGGAUAGCGGAAUUCCUAGUGGAGCGGUAAAAUGCGCAGAUAUUAGGAAGAACACCGGUGGCGAAGGCGGCUAUCUGGACAGUAACUGACGCUGAGGCGCGAAAGCGUGGGGAGCAAACAGGAUUAGAUCCCCUGGUAGUCCACGCCGUAAACGAUGAAUACUAGGUGUAGGGGGUAUCGACUCCCUCUGUGCCGCAGUUAACACAAUAAGUAUUCCGCCUGGGGAGUACGGCCGCAAGGUUGAAACUCAAAUGAAUUGACGGGG